UUACGGCCAUCUCAUGUUGGAACACCGUUUCUCGUCCGAUAACCGAAGUAAAGCAACAUCGAGCUUUGUCAGUACCUAGAUGUGCAACCCCUUGGAAAUUUAAAGUGUUGUAAG